rnacentral:rRNA from 1 species
GAUGAACGCUGGCGGCGUGCCUAAUACAUGCAAGUCGAGCGAAUGGAUUAAGAGCUUGCUCUUAUGAAGUUAGCGGCGGACGGGUGAGUAACACGUGGGUAACCUGCCCAUAAGACUGGGAUAACUCCGGGAAACCGGGGCUAAUACCGGAUACCAUUUUGAACCGCAUGGUUCGAAAUUGAAGGGCGGCUACGGCUGUCACUUAUGGAUGGCCCCGCGUCGCAUUAGCUAGUUGGUGAGGUAACGGCUCACCAAGGCAACGAUGCGUAGCCGACCUGAGAGGGUGAUCGGCCACACUGGGACUGGGACACGGCCGAGACUCCUACGGGAGGCAGCAGUAGGGAAUCUUCCGCAAUGGACGAAAGUCUGACGGAGCAACGCCGCGUGAGUGAUGAAGGCUUUCGGGUCGUAAAACUCUGUAGUUAGGGAAGAACAAGUGCUAGUUGAAUAAGCUGGCACCUUGACGGUACCUAACCAGAAAGCCACGGCUAACUACGUGCCAGCAGCCGCCGUAA